UGGGGAAUCUUGCACAAUGGGGGCAACCCUGAUGCAGCGACGCCGCGUGAGCGAUGAAGCCCUUCGGGGCGUAAAGCUCUUUCGACCGGAACGAUAAUGACGGUACCGGGAGAAGAAGCUGCGGCUAACUACGUGCCAGCAGCCGCGGUAAUACGUAGGCAGCAAGCGUUGUUCGGAGUUACUGGGCGUAAAGAGUGCGUAGGCGGUUUUCUAAGUUUGGUGUGAAAUCUCCCGGCUUAACUGGGAGGGUGCGCCGAAGACUGGGAAGCUGGAGUGUGGGAAAGGCAGGCGGAAUUCCUGGUGUAGCGGUGAAAUGCGUAGAUAUCAGGAGGAACACCGGCGGUGUAGACGGCUUGCUAGACCAUAACUGACGCUGAGGCACGAAAGCGUGGGUAGCAAACA
rnacentral:rRNA from 1 species